UACGUAGGGUGCGAGCGUUAAUCGGAAUUACUGGGCGUAAAGCGUGCGCAGGCGGUUUUGUAAGCCAGAUGUGAAAUCCCCGGGCUUAACCUGGGAAUGGCAUUUGGGACUGCAAGGCUCGAGUGCGGCAGAGGAGACUGGAAUUCCUGGUGUAGCAGUGAAAUGCGUAGAUAUCAUGAGGAACACCGAUGGCGAAGGCAGGUCUCUGGGCUGACACUGACGCUCAUGCACGAAAGCGUGGGGAGCAAACAGG
rnacentral:rRNA from 1 species